UGGAAGUAAAAAGUCGUAACAAGGUCUCCGUUGGUGAACCAGCGGAGGGAUCAUUACCGAGUUUACAACUCCCAAACCCAAUGUGAACGUUACCAAACUGUUGCCUCGGCGGGAUCUCUGCCCCGGGUGCGUCGCAGCCCCGGACCAAGGCGCCCGCCGGAGGACCAACCAAAACUCUUAUUGUAUACCCCCUCGCGGGUUUUUUUAUAAUCUGAGCCUUCUCGGCGCCUCUCGUAGGCGUUUCGAAAAUGAAUCAAAACUUUCAACAACGGAUCUCUUGGUUCUGGCAUCGAUGAAGAACGCAGCGAAAUGCGAUAAGUAAUGUGAAUUGCAGAAUUCAGUGAAUCAUCGAAUCUUUGAACGCACAUUGCGCCCGCCAGUAUUCUGGCGGGCAUGCCUGUCCGAGCGUCAUUUCAACCCUCGAACCCCUCCGGGGGGUCGGCGUUGGGGAUCGGCCCUCCCUUAGCGGGUGGCCGUCUCCGAAAUACAGUGGCGGUCUCGCCGCAGCCUCUCCUGCGCAGUAGUUUGCACACUCGCAUCGGGAGCGCGGCGCGUCCACAGCCGUUAAACACCCAACUUCUGAAAUGUUGACCUCGGAUCAGGUAGGAAUACCCGCUGAACUUAAGCAUAUCAAUAAGCGGAGGAA
rnacentral:rRNA from 1 species